rnacentral:rRNA from 1 species
GAGUUUGAUCGUGGCUCAGAUUGAACGCUGGCGGCAGGCCUAACACAUGCAAGUCGAGCGGAUGACGGGAGCUUGCUCCUUGAUUCAGCGGCGGACGGGUGAGUAAUGCCUGGGAAUCUGCCUGGUAGUGGGGGACAACGUUUCGAAAGGAACGCUAAUACCGCAUACGUCCUACGGGAGAAAGCAGGGGACCUUCGGGCCUUGCGCUAUCAGAUGAGCCUAGGUCGGAUUAGCUAGUUGGUGGGGUAAUGGCUCACCAAGGCGACGAUCCGUAACUGGUCUGAGAGGAUGAUCAGUCACACUGGAACUGAGACACGGUCCAGACUCCUACGGGAGGCAGCAGUGGGGAAUAUUGGACAAUGGGCGAAAGCCUGAUCCAGCCAUGCCGCGUGUGUGAAGAAGGGUCUUCGGAUUGUAAAGCACUUUAAGUUGGGAGGAAGGGCAGUAAGUUAAUACCUUGCUGUUUUUGACGUUUACCGACAGAAUAAGCACCGGCUAACUCUGUGCCAGCAGCCG